UACGAAGGGGGCUAGCGUUGCUCGGAAUCACUGGGCGUAAAGCGCACGUAGGCGGACUCUUAAGUCGGUGGUGAAAUCCUGGAGCUCAACUCCAGAACUGCCUUCGAUACUGAGAGUCUUGAGUCCGAGAGAGGUGAGUGGAACUGCGAGUGUAGAGGUGAAAUUCGUAGAUAUUCGCAAGAACACCAGUGGCGAAGGCGGCUCACUGGCUCGGUACUGACGCUGAGGUGCGAAAGCGUGGGGAGCGAACAGG
rnacentral:rRNA from 1 species